UAGGGAAUCUUCGGCAAUGGGGGGAACCCGGACCGAGCAACGCCGCGUGAGUGAAGAAGGUUUUCGGAUCGUAAAGCUCUGUUGUUAAGGAAGAACGAGUGUGAGAAUGGAAAGUUCAUACUGUGACGGUACUUAACCAGAAAGGGAUGGCGAACUACGUGCCAGAAGCCGCGGUAAUACGUAGGUGGCAAGCGUUAUCCGGAAUUAUUGGGCGUAAAGCGCGAGUAGGCGGUUUUUUAAGUCUGAUGUGAAAGCCCACGGCUCAACCGUGGAGGGUCAUUGGAAACUGGAAAACUUUAGUGCAGAAGAGGAAAUUGGAAUUCCAUCUGUAGCGGUGAAAUGCGCAGAUAUAUGGAGGAACACCAGUGGCGAAGGCGACUUUCUGGUCUGUCACUGACGCUGAUGUGCGAAAGCGUGGUGAUCAAACAGG
rnacentral:rRNA from 1 species